GAGUAGACUAGCGCUAGCAUUGGAUGGAUUAGUGUGGAGGAUCCCAGGGCCCAUGCUAGAAACUAUGAUGGCGAACAUGGGAACAAAAUUUGGUGGAUUGGCAGCUGGGGCGUCGUCAUCACCUGUAUAGAGCCUGAGGACAUGGCGUCGCUGGACAUCCCAUAGGGGUAGAUGAUCAACAGCACCGACGUGGUCAGUGGCA
rnacentral:lncRNA from 1 species